rnacentral:rRNA from 1 species
CCCUUCACAGGGCGCGUGUCGCACGUAUGUUAUACGCACAGGUCUCCGAUAGCAACGAACGUGACCGUACUCUAUUGUUGCAGCGACAAUACCUUUCAACGGGUAUUACCGCUGCUUAGCAAGAUUCGUCUUGCAUUAAACUAUAGAGACCGCUGUUUCUUCUUUAAACCAGAGGAAGGAUACGGCAAUAACAGGUCUGUGAUGCCCUCAGAUGUUCCGGGCUGCACACGUGCUACAAUGAUCAUUGCACUGUGCAUCUAACCCAAUGUGCGCGGACGCCGCCGUGCGUAUAUACUUUAUUGUGUAUGCGUAUCGUGCGUGCGACCGCGCCGAACCUGCUUCGAAAGUAAACAUUUCCAGCGGGUAAUCCAUUAGAAGUAAUGACUCGCAUAGACCAUGGCACACUAUAUGUACCCGCGGGUUCUACCCGGCUCGCCUUUGUGUGAGUGCAGUGCGUAGCUCGUUGUUUGGUACGUGCCACUCCGUAUUAAUUCAUACGUGGGGAUAGAUCAUUGUUUAAUUGUUGGUCUCGGUCUUAACUAGGAAUGCCUUGUACGGGUCUUUGGUUCAACAUACCACCCGGAAUACGUCCCUGCCCUUUGUACACACCGCCCGUCGCUCUUACCGAUGGAUUAUACUAUGAAUCUAUAGGACUGCCAAAGUUGCUCUUCGCGGSGCGCUUAGUGGAAAUAUAUAUGAAUAGUGGAUCAA